CCUCCAUGCGUCCAGUUUUGAGUCAUCUGAUCCCAGGCCCAUCUCUGGUGCACGUCUCAGCCCACUAGAGCUUGAAAGAAGACAGGGGAAUCCAAAGGAAGAAGUCUGAUGGGGAACUCUAUGGUGAAAAUCAAUGGGACUUAUUUAACAGAAUCAAACCCCAUUGGCCAUUUAAAGAGUCACCCACUUCAGCUAACUUACGAUGGAGGCUUCAGUGAAAUCAAGGAGCAAGGAAUGUUCAAAGAGUCAACAUCCUUGCCAUCUCACCUCAGAAGUAGAGGGGACCAGGGGAAGAGGCGUUCGGGGGCCUCAUCAUGCCCCAACAGCCCGGACCUGAGCAGGCUGGAAACCAAAGCAGUUUCUAAAGCCGACUCGCCAGAAAAGGAUACAGAAACUGAUGUCGAUGAUAUCUUUUGGAAUACAAGGAUUGUACCAAUUUUGCAUGAAUUAGAAAAAGAAGAAAACGUUGAAAUGGUUUGUGCUGCUUGCACACAACUUCAUCAUGCUUUAGAGGAAGGAAACAUGCUUGGAAAUAAAUUUAAGAGAAGAAAUAUUCUCCUGAAGACCCUUUAUAAACUAGUUGAUGUUGGUUCAGACCCGCUCAGCCUUAAACUUGCAAAAAUUAUUCUAGCACUUAAAGUAAGUAGAAAGAAUCUUCUCAAUGUCUGCAAACUUAUAUUUAAAAUUAGCAGGAGCAAGAAGAAUGAUUCUCUAAUUCAAAAUGACAGCAUUCUGGAAUCAUUAUUGGAGGUCCUGAGAAGUGAAGACCUGCAAACUAACACCGAAGCUUUUUUAUAUUGUAUGGGGGCUAUCAAAUUUCUUUCUGGAAAUCCAGGAUUUCUUAAUGAAAUGAUCAGCAAAGAUGCUGUGGAAAUACUGAUGAAUUUGAUAAAGCAAAUAAAUGAGAACACCAAGAAAUGCGGUACAUGUUUCCCCAAUUCAGGUCACUUGUUAGUCCAAAUAACUGCUACUUUGAGAAACUUGGUUGAUUCACCACUAGCAAGAAGAAAGUUGCUGUGUGUCAGUGCCCUUCCCCAGCUCUGCACAGUGAUGGGACAGUACAUGGAUGACAAGGAUGUCUGCACCAAUAUUGCCAGAAUAUUCAGCAAACUUACUUCUUACCAUGACUGCUGUGUUGCCUUGGCCAACUAUUCCAGAUGUUACGCCUUAUUUUUGAAUCUGAUAAACAAAUACCAGAAGAAGCAGGACUUAGUCGUUCGUAUUGUUUUUAUUCUUGGCAACCUGACGGCAAAAAAUAACCAGGCUCGUGAACAGUUUUCCAAAGAGAAAGGGAGCAUCCCAACUCUGUUGGCAUUAUUCCACCACACGCUCUACGAACUGGACCUGCGAUCCGAGAAGCGAGUGGGGGAAGGAAGUGAGCCACCCAAGGCACAGACGCCGCAGGCCCAGGUGGAGGACGUACUCAUCAAGCUGACCCGUGUGCUCGCCAACUUGGCCAUCCACCCAGGCGUCGGUCAGGCCAUGGCUGCCAACCCGCACGUAGUGGACCCGCUCCUCGCCACGCUGGAAUACAAGUCAAUUGAUGAUUGUGAGGAGCUGGUGAUCAAUACUACAGCGACAAUCAACAACUUAUCUUACUACCAAGUGAAGAAUUCCAUAAUUCAAGACAAAAAGCUAUAUAUUGCUGAAUUGCUCUUAAAGCUCCUCGUGAGUAAUAACAUGGAUGGAAUCCUGGAGGCUGUGCGUGUUUUUGGAAAUCUCUCCCAGGACCGUGACAUCUGCAAUUUCAUUGUGCAGAAGAAUGUACACAAGUUCAUGAUGGCACUGCUGGAUGCUAAGCAUCAGGAUAUUUGCUUUUCUGCCUGUGGUGUUCUUCUAAAUCUCACUGUGGAUAAAGACAAGCGUGUCAUCCUAAAAGAAGGAGGUGGCAUUAAAAAGUUGGUGGAUUGCUUAAGAGAUUUUGGUCCUACUGAUUGGCAGCUGGCCUGCUUAGUUUGCAAAACUUUAUGGAACUUCAGUGAAAAUAUCACUAAUGCUUCAUCAUGUUUUGGAGAUGAAGACACCGACACACUCUUAGUCCUGCUAUCAUCAUUUUUAGAUGAAGAUCUGGCACUGGAUGGCAAUUUUGACCAAGACCUAAAAAACUAUCACAAACUCCAGUGGGAAACAGAAUUCAAACCUGUGGCACAGCAGCUUCUAAACCGAAUUCAGAGCCAUCAUACCUUCCUGGAAGCCCUGCCUAUGCCCGCUUUCUAACAUGAUGCAGAUUAACACCAGAAACAGGAAGUCAGGUCUCCUUCAUUCUUAAGAAGUGGUGCUGUCACCCCCAAAUAACAGCUUUAUAAUAUUGAAAUGGGGGUGGAUGAGUGAGUAUAAAGGGAUAAGAAAGAGAGAAGUUAGAGAGAUGAACAGAAAGAAAAAAAAAAGCAACAGUAUGUAUCUACAAUCAUGAAAAAGCAACCAUACUGAGGAACAAAUUCUAAAAACAGAGUUUAUGAAUACUGCUGAAAUUAAUCAAACAAUAUUUAUUAUUGGUACUAUUAUAUGAUAUGUAACUUGUAAUCCACUUGUGCAAAUAAAACUAAUUAGAAUUAUUCUUCUCAUGUUUCCAGAGUUUCCUGGGGUCAGAUGAGAAAAAAAAAGGGGGAGGAGGAGCUGUCUCAGAGGAAAGGGAGGUCUAUAGAUGGCCUUACAGUGUCUACACUUAGGAGACGCUGUUCUGCUUUAAGCCGCGAUGGUCAAAGGCACCAGUGUCUGGUUGGCCCCACUGGGUGAUGGUUUCUAGAACACCCAGGGACUGAAGUCCUCUAUUCUGUUUUCAGUAGAAAAGAGAAAGCUCUUAUAAAGCCGGUCCAUUCAGGAGGCUAAAGUCAAUAGCCUGGCCACUGAUAAAAUAAGCAGCAGGAGAAAGCCUGACUUUACAGCUAAAAUAAGAAAGUACUGCAGCAAUGAGUUUGUGUGCAUAUGUUAGAAGGUGGUAUAUCAUGACUGCAUUUCCUAUGUAACGUACUAAUGUGGCUGAAUACCUCACAAUCAGGACGUGAAAGUUUUGCAUUUUAAGGAAGUAUCACAGGAGUAGGAAGUAGCUUCAGAAGGAGCCUGAGAAGAGCCAGGAGGGAACCAUAAGGGUCCUAGGUUCCAAGAAGGGACAAGUGUAAGUGUGUCAGGAGACAGAAGAUGGCAUAAAGAGAAAAGAUACCAAAGACGUCUGGUGACACACGUCACCUCUUUUCCUCUGUACUCUAGGACCAGCUUGUUGGCCCCCCCCUCCCCAUCCCUGGAGGCACCUUGUCAAUGUCCCUAACUCUCCCUCUUGCUUAGCUAGGAAAGAGAAAACAAACCAAGCUGUAAUAAGUUGGUUCUCUGAAGCAUAUCCAUAAAAAUAAGCUACUGGAGAAAGAUUUUGAGUUUACGUGUCUGUGUGCAUAUGUGUUCCAAGUACCUGAAUAAUUUAGCCCAAUGGAAAAAUAUCUCUUUAUAAACAUAA